UGUCAAGGUCAAUCAGGCAGCAGGGA
rnacentral:piRNA from 1 species